AUGUGCAGAGGGAAGUUCGCCGCCAACGACCGCGGCAUGGGGCGUCCCGGCCAAGCCCUGUCGGCGGGGAAGGCGGAAAUGCGCGGCAGCUGGUCGACGGAUGAGGAUUCUGACGACUGGGAGGCCGCCCUCCGGGAGUUCAUGGCCGCCGCCGACGGCGACGGCCGCAAUGAGCCGCUCCCCACAGGUACCAUGGCAUCCUGCGAGCUAUACAGCUCGCCGGCCAUGGCGAGGCCGAGGCGGCGCAGGGCGAGCCCUAGCCACCCGUACCGCGGCAUCCGGCAGCGGGCGUGGGGGAGGUGGUCGGCGGAAAUCCGCGACACUUUCAAGGGCGCUCGCGUCUGGAUCGGCACCUUCGACACGGCCGCGGAGGCCGCCCGCGCCUACGACGCCGAGGCGCGGCGCAUCCACGGUAGAAAGGCCAGGACAAACUUCCCUGCAGCGCCGGCGGCGCCGUGCAGCCAUCGUCCUGGACCGUCUUCUUGCACCACCGAUGACGGCGCGGACAACGUGGCCCGUGCAACGGAGAGCGCCUCGUCUUCGUCCAAGGAUGUCCACGGGACUGCGCCUUCCGACGCGCACAUACUGCUGGAGUGCUGCUCGGACGACGUCAUGGAGAGCCUCCUCGCCGGCUCCGACGUGGCCGGCAACAUGGACCUCUGGAGCUUGCGGUUCCCGAGAUAA
rnacentral:rRNA from 1 species